ensembl:lncRNA
ACGUGCACUUGCAAUAUGAUUGUAUGUGAAAAAACAUCACCAAAUGGACAUGAUGAAAUCAACACAACGAGUGAUGGAAAGGAACAACUAUCACUGCUCGGCCAUCCUGUGUUCAUCAGGCCAGUCAAUUUUGCAUUUUUGAGCAUGUCAAAUUUCAUAUGGUAAAAUACAACUAAAGUAUGUUGAUACAGUUCUUAUACGUGUGUAAUUGACACAAAAUUACAAAAACGGUCCAGAAAGCACUUUUUAAGGGUGUGUGAAGUUUUUUCAAAAUUUUGACAUUUUUUUUUGACUUUUGACUUCCUAUGAAAUCAUAUUGAAAAUGGACAAAACAUAUUACUUAUGCCCAUGUAAAAAAAAAAAAAAAAAUAUGAUGAUAAAAUUGGACAAAAGUAUAUUCAUACAGUUCUUACACAUGUGUAAUUGACAAAAAAAAUCGAAAGAAUUUCGAAAAACGGUCCAGAAAGCACUUUUUUAAGGGGUGAUAAGUUUUUGACAAAAAAUCAUUUUUUCAAAAUUUUGCUUUUGGAUGUUGACUUGGGUGACAUUUCCAAUAUGAAAAACCAUGGUGGCGAAUUCGCUCCACCAUGGUUUUUCAUAUUGGAAAUGUCACCCAAGUCAACACCCAAAAGCAAAAUUUUGAAAAAAUGAUUUUUUUGUCAAAAACUUAUCACCCCUUAAAAAAGUGCUUUCUGGACCGUUUUUCGAAAUUCUUUUGAUUUUUUUGUCAAUUACACAUGUGUAAGAACUGUAUGAAUAUACUUUUGUCCAAUUUUAUCAUCAUAUUUUUUUUUUUUUUUUACAUGGGCAUAAGUAAUAUGUUUUGUCCAUUUUCAAUAUGAUUUCAUAGGAAGUCAAAAGUCAAAAGUCAAAAAUGUCAAAAUUUUGUAAAAAACUUCACACACCCUUAAAGUGCUUUCUGGACCGUUUUUUGUAAUUUUGUGUCAAUUACACACGUAUAAGAACUGUAUCAACAUACUUUAGUUGUAUUUUACCAUAUGAAAUUUGACAUGCUCAAAAAUGCAAAAUUGACUGGCCUGAUGAACACAGGAUGGCCGGGCAGUGAUAGUUGUUCCUUUCCAUCACUCGUUGUGUUGAUUUCAUCAUGUCCAUUUGGUGAUGUUUUUUCACUAUAGAAUCAUAUUGCAAGUGCACGUGCAUUUGCAAUAUGGUUCAAUGGGCAUUUACCAUAAGAAAUUUGACAUGCUCAAAAAUCCUGCAGAAAUGCAAAAUUGACUGGCCUGAUGAACACAGGAUGGCCUGGCAGUGAUAGUUGCUCCUUUCCAUCGCUCGUUGUGUUGACUUCAUCAUGUGCAUUUUGUGAUUUUUUUUCACUAUAGAAUCAUAUUGCAAAUGCACGUGCAUUGUUGUGCAACUGGUAACCCAAAAAUAAAAAUAUGGUUGUAAAUGCAUUUACCGGGACUCCUAUUGUCCAUGCCCGCUAUGGGAGUACCCUACUACGACCCUCUAUCCAUGGGGGCCUC